rnacentral:misc_RNA from 1 species
GUGGAUUAAGAGAACCAAAAACAUUUGACAAUUUUGGGCACCCAUUAAACCUCAACUUUUUGAGCUUCAUCAUGGACAGGGACAUUUCAUAAGGUAGCUCACCUUUGCAUAAUCCUUUUAGGGCUUUCAAAUAUGAAAGCGACAAUGUUUCCAGGUCCACCAAACAAGUUCCCUGCUGCUGCUGUGUUGUGGGUAGAAUCUCCCAUUCUUCAGCAUUGAUCAAGUACUCGAGCUUGGAGCAGUAGCUGAUAUACAGAGAUCUCAAGACAGCUAAACUAUCUCUUAGAUCUCUCUCUGAGAAUAGUAGGGGAAAGAUAUUUCUUAACCCUUUGAGUUUAGAUAGAGAGAGAUCAUUU